GUUAAGAUGGCAGAGCCCGGUAAUUGCGUAAAACUUAAAACUUUACUACCAGAGGUUCAAUUCCUCUUCUUAAC
rnacentral:tRNA from 1 species